ensembl:lncRNA
UAUAUGAUAUGCCUUUCAGAUAGUGACAAAAGCAAUAGGAUAGAGAACAGCCAGGGCAGGGGAAGGUGGGAUGGCUCUCUACUUUUCAGUGAGGCCAGGAAUAUCCCCUAUUGUAGGUCAAAUUCACCGGGCAACUGACUCAGAUUGUGAUUAGCCGAUUGAGGUUCUUUGCAGAACCCUUCAGGAUUAGGGUGUUUGGUGAGUACAGAAGAUUCCAGCAGGCAGAAAGAGAUGCUGGCCCAUUAUGCAGUCAUAGGAAAGCUAAAGGGAGUCAGGGAACCUGCUGAAAAUCUUGGAUAGAGCUGCAGGCCAAGGCUACUUAAACUCUCUCAUAGUCAGUAUUAUAUUCAUCUGUGGGCUGCCGAGUGUGUGUGUGUGUGUGUGUGUGUGUGUGUGUGUGUGUGUGUGUGUGUGUGUGUGUGUGGUCUUAAGCUGAGGGCAAUAUGAUCGUGCCCCAGUUACAAGAGAAGAGGACUUCAAUACUGAAAAGGGGACCUUCUAAGUGUCUUACUACCACUUCUCUGAGCAGGGUAUGUGAUGAGAUAUGAGACCAGACAGUGUGAUCUCAUCUGGUCUUGUGGUCAAGAUUUUCAUUACCAGUUUAUAUCCCUGUUUAUCUCCCAGGAGCUCAAAGAGAUGAAGUGGCCUUCCAGAAUGUAGCCUUGGUGUCUUCUGUUUCUAAUGUGACCUGGGCCUGGAUAUAUCUUGUUCUACUGAUGCCUGUAUGAGUGGGGAGUGCCAGCAUGUCACAAGCCUUACAGUCAAUUGCUUAUAGUUUGUUUCUUGGACCCAUCUAGUCCAUCAUCUAUGUAGGGUAGGCUUCAGGCAGACAAUGAUGUCUUAUGUUUAAAAGUGUCUAUGUGUGAUGGCUUCAUUCCAUCCACAGAUACUGGGAAGUGUGGAUCUGAAUUCCCUUUUCACAGAUAAAGGAAUGAGAAGUAAAUAGUCCAGGUGUAGCCACUGAACUUGAGUCUUUUAGUACCAGAUGGCACCAUCUGUGCAUGGCCUCUCCAUUCCUAGAGUCCCCACCUCAAGGUGGGCUUCUUGAGGUAGGGAGUUGAGAUGUGAGGAUAAAGAAGAUACAAGCAUGAGGAAGAGAGGGCAGGUGGCUGCUUUCAACCACUGGGGCAGGUCAUUUAACUUCCCUAGACCCUGGUUUCCUCAUUGAAGUGACAGAACAGAAGUUGGUUGCUGCUUUCUGGAACUUUCCUCUGAUUUAAGGAAUCAUCAAAGACAAAAAAUCCAAAGUAAAAGCAAAGAGAUAGUGACGACGGGAGUGGAUCAUGUUCUCUCAGGUCUGUGACCAUCACAAGGACACCAUUAUGCUCUCUUCCUUUGCAUCCUCACCAGUAGCUGGAACACCUUCAUUUUGAACACUUUACUACUCAGGUAGCUGUUGCUACCACCAUCACUGUUUCACACAUGAUGGCGAACAGACUGAAGAGAUCAAAUUAAAUCCAUUUCCACUUUAGGGUGGGAAAUCUGUUUGGAACAAUCAGGAGGGUUUGGAGCAUCAAGCAUGGCUUUUCAAUUGCCAUCAAAUGGUAAAUUGCUUAAUGUCAAUUGGCAUUAAGUGGACCGAUUUGUACCCAAUUAAUCCACCAGGGUUGAGAAGGAAGAAAACAAUUUCAUUUAGCUAGAUUAUUCCUUACUGGCUUCUUCCUGCCUGCUGCUCCCAGCAGUUUGCAGACUUUUCUUGUGCCUAUUCUUUGCCUGUUCAGGGAGAUACACCCCCCUCACCCAAGCCCCCUUGUUGGGAAAGACAGGCUUGUAGCUACUUAUUUUAGCUUUUCCCAUGCUACAGAGCCUCGAUUAGGGAAUGGUUGUCACAGAUCCCUGAUGAAAUACAUUGCUAGUGUUAAAGAGUUAAUGCAAUUUUCAGAAACAUCUCAUUUCCAACCAGAGCUAGACUUUAGUCCCAGACAAAGCUGGCAUGUUAGGUGACUUGUUGUGCACGUUCACACACAAACACACACACACACACACACACACACACACACACACACACCACAAAAGCAGUGUUAUUGAAUGACAAGUCACAUGUAGAUAUCUCAGAGACUCUGCAUGAUAAUGACAAACAUAAACAGAGGAAAGGCAGGUCCCCAUCUCCAGCCACCUGACAGGUGGCACACAGAAACCUGCCUGGGGGAGAUUGCCCAAAUGAAAGGAUGCCUCUGAGUCUACACUGGGCUAUGUGAGCUGGCA